AGAAUCAACGCUGGCGGCGUGCCUAACACAUGCAAGUCGAACGCGAAAGUGGAGCAAUCCAUGAGUAGAGUGGCAAACGGGUGAGUAACGCGUGGGCGACCUACCUUCACGUGGGGAUAACCUUCCGAAAGGAGGCUAAUACCGCAUAACAUCCUGCUUUUAGAUAAGCGGUAUCAAAGCCGGGAUCGCAAGACCUGGCGCGAGAAGAGGGGCCCGCGUCCGAUUAGCUAGUUGGUGAGGUAACGGCUCACCAAGGCUCCGAUCGGUA
rnacentral:rRNA from 1 species